CGAGCGGCGGACGGGUGAGUAAUACUUAGGAAUCUACCUAGUAGUGGGGGAUAGCACGGGGAAACUCGUAUUAAUACCGCAUACGACCUACGGGAGAAAGGGGGCAGUUUACUGCUCUCGCUAUUAGAUGAGCCUAAGUCGGAUUAGCUAGAUGGUGGGGUAAAGGCCUACCAUGGCGACGAUCUGUAGCUGGUCUGAGAGGAUGAUCAGCCACACCGGGACUGAGACACGGCCCGGACUCCUACGGGAGGCAGCAGUGGGGAAUAUUGGACAAUGGGGGAAACCCUGAUCCAGCCAUGCCGCGUGUGUGAAGAAGGCCUUUUGGUUGUAAAGCACUUUAAGCAGUGAAGAAGACUCCGUGGUUAAUACCCACGGACGAUGACAUUAGCUGCAGAAUAAGCACCGGCUAACUCUGUGCCAGCAGCCGCGGUAAUACAGAGGGUGCAAGCGUUAAUCGGAAUUACUGGGCGUAAAGGGAGCGUAGGUGGCUCUAUAAGUCAGAUGUGAAAUCCCCGGGCUCAACCUGGGAACUGCAUCUGAAACUGUAGAGCUAGAGUAUGUGAGAGGAAGGUAGAAUUCCAGGUGUAGCGGUGAAAUGCGUAG
rnacentral:rRNA from 1 species